UAGGGAAUCUUCCGCAAUGGGCGAAAGCUUGACGGAGCAACGCCGCGUGAGUGAUGAAGGUCUUCGGAUCGUAAAACUCUGUUAUUAGGGAAGAACAAAUGUGUAAGUAGCUAUGCACGUCUUGACGGUACCUAAUCAGAAAGCCACGGCUAACUACGUGCCAGCAGCCGCGGUAAUACGUAGGUGGCAAGCGUUAUCCGGAAUUAUUGGGCGUAAAGCGCGCGUAGGCGGUUUUUUAAGUCUGAUGUGAAAGCCCACGGCUCAACCGUGGAGGGUCAUUGGAAACUGGAAAACUUGAGUGCAGAAGAGGAAAGUGGAAUUCCAUGUGUAGCGGUGAAAUGCGCAGAGAUAUGGAGGAACACCAGUGGCGAAGGCGACUUUCUGGUCUGUAACUGACGCUGAUGUGCGAAAGCGUGGGGAUCAAACAGG
rnacentral:rRNA from 1 species